rnacentral:rRNA from 1 species
UGGGGAAUAUUGCACAAUGGGCGCAAGCCUGAUGCAGCCAUGCCGCGUGUAUGAAGAAGGCCUUCGGGUUGUAAAGUACUUUCAGUCGGGAGGAAGGUGUCAAGGUUAAUAACCUUGGCAAUUGACGUUACCGACAGAAGAAGCACCGGCUAACUCCGUGCCAGCAGCCGCGGUAAUACGGAGGGUGCAAGCGUUAAUCGGAAUUACUGGGCGUAAAGCGCACGCAGGCGGUUGAUUGAGUCAGAUGUGAAAUCCCCGGGCUUAACCCGGGAAUUGCAUCUGAUAAUGGUCAGCUAGAGUCUUGUAGAGGAGGGUAGAAUUCCAUGUGUAGCGGUGAAAUGCGUAGAGAUGUGGAGGAAUACCGGUGGCGAAGGCGGCCCCCUGGACAAAGACUGACGCUCAGGUGCGAAAGCGUGGGGAGCAAACAGG